rnacentral:rRNA from 1 species
CCUACGGGUGGCUGCAGUGGGGAAUAUUGCACAAUGGGGGAAACCCUGAUGCAGCGACGCCGCGUGAGUGAAGAAGUACUUCGUUACGUAAAGCUCUAUCAGCAGGGAAGAAAAUGACGGUACCUGAGUAAGAAGCCCCGGCUAACUACGUGCCAGCAGCCGCGGUAAUACGUAGGGGGCAAGCGUUAUCCGGAUUUACUGGGUGUAAAGGGAGCGUAGACGGUGCGCCAAGUCUGGAGUGAAAUGCCGCAGCUUAACUUCUGUUCGGCACUGGAUACUGGUAAGCUUGAAUGCGGUAGAGGUAAAGGGAAUUCCUGGUGUAGCGGUGAAAUGCGUAGAUAUCAGGAGGAACAUCGGUGGCGUAAGCGCUUUACUGGGCCGUAAUUGACACUGAGGAACGAAAGCCGGGGUAGCAAAUGGGAUUAGAUACCCCAGUAGUC